UACUCUCACACUGUUCAUUUAUGCAGAACCUCUUCAGUUUCUGUCUAAAACGCUCUGUUUUGAAUCCCUUCGCUUAAAGGCCCCGCUCCCAAAAAGCCAAGUCUGCUGUGAUUGGUCAGCUGUUGUGAUUGGUCAAUCGUAUUGCGCAGUGCCGAGAAGCUGUUAACAUUUCGGGUAACAGUGGCUUCGUUUCAGCCGUAUCUGUCGGAGACUGAACAGAAUCACACAGUCACACAGGCCAUCGACCCGAAACAACAUUGCAACCAAGAGCUGAGCAGGACGUCUCGGUGGUGUAAACUGUCCCAGAAUGCCCAGCGAAGUGGAAAACGACUGCUGCCAAGAAAUACAAAAGGUUGUAAUACGAAUGGAGCAGCUUCCAGUCCAGCCUAGAUGCCUGGUGAACCAAACAGGCCUAGAGCUUGAAUCCAUCCAUCCAGCCUGCAGAACAUUAACAACUAAGAGUGGACUAUAAACCUUUUUUUUUUACAUCUAAUGAGAUACAGCCUUCUACAAUUAAAUUGAAACAUGUCUCAUUAUACCACAGCACCUGAAUAACUAGAAUGAAAUGAAUGUUAAUCUCAUUAUAAAUGAAUGUUUUCCUCAAUAUAAAUAAAUGUUUUCAAAUGUAAGAACACCGUGUAUCCAUCCCUGUAUAUACACAGUAAACACGGUUUUCAGCAGGAUAAGUAAUCUAUCCUCUCCAAACAGGUGUU
rnacentral:lncRNA from 1 species